GACGAACGCUGGCGGCGUGCUUAACACAAGCAAGUCGAACGGAAAGGCCCUGCUUUUGUGGGGUGCUCGAGUGGCGAACGGGUGAGUAACACGUGAGUAACCUGCCCUUGACUUUGGGAUAACUUCAGGAAACUGGGGCUAAUACCGGAUAGGAGCUCCUGCUGCAUGGUGGGGGUUGGAAAGUUUCGGCGGUUGGGGAUGGACUCGCGGCUUAUCAGCUUGUUGGUGGGGUAGUGGCUUACCAAGGCUUUGACGGGUAGCCGGCCUGAGAGGGUGACCGGCCACCUUGGGACUGAGAUACGGCCCAGACUCCUACGGGAGGCAGCAGUGGGGAAUAUUGCACAAUGGGCGGAAGCCUGAUGCAGCAACGCCGCGUGCGGGAUGACGGCCUUCGGGUUGUAAACCGCUUUCGCCUGUGACGAAGCGUGAGUGACGGUAAUGGGUAAAGAAGCACCGGCUAACUACGUG
rnacentral:rRNA from 1 species